CCUACGGGUGGCAGCAGUGGGGAAUAUUGCACAAUGGGGGAAACCCUGAUGCAGCGACGCCGCGUGAGUGAAGAAGUAAUUCGUUACGUAAAGCUCUAUCAGCAGGGAAGAAACACUGACCUUACGGUCAGCAGACGGUACCUGAGUAAGAAGCCCCGGCUAACUACGUGCCAGCAGCCGCGGGAAUACGGAGGGGGCAAGCGUUAUCCGGAUUUACUGGGUGUAAAGGGUGCGUAGACGGCCAAGCAAGCCAGGGGUGAAAGCCCGGGGCCCAACCCCGGGACUGCCCUUGGAACUGCAUGGCUGGAGUGCGGGAGAGGCAGGCGGAAUUCCUGGUGUAGCGGUGAAAUGCGUAGAUAUCAGGAGGAACACCGACGGCGAAGGCGGCCUGCUGGACCGCGACUGACGUUGAGGCUCGAAAGCGUGGGGAGCGAACAGGAUUAGAUACCCUUGUAGUC
rnacentral:rRNA from 1 species